rnacentral:rRNA from 1 species
GAUGAACGCUGGCGGCGUGCCUAAUACAUGCAAGUCGAGCGAACAGACGAGGAGCUUGCUCCUCUGACGUUAGCGGCGGACGGGUGAGUAACACGUGGAUAACCUACCUAUAAGACUGGGAUAACUUCGGGAAACCGGAGCUAAUACCGGAUAAUAUAUUGAACCGCAUGGUUCAAUAGUGAAAGACGGUUUUGCUGUCACUUAUAGAUGGAUCUGCGCCGCAUUAGCUAGUUGGUAAGGUAACGGCUUACCAAGGCAACGAUGCGUAGCCGACCUGAGAGGGUGAUCGGCCACACUGGAACUGAGACACGGUCCAGACUCCUACGGGAGGCAGCAGUAGGGAAUCUUCCGCAAUGGGCGAAAGCCUGACGGAGCAACGCCGCGUGAGUGAUGAAGGUCUUCGGAUCGUAAAACUCUGUUAUUAGGGAAGAACAAAUGUGUAAGUAACUGUGCACGUCUUGACGGUACCUAAUCAGAAAGCCACGGCUAACUACGUG